GGCUAGAGAGGCGAGAAACGAGAGGCGAGCCGGGGGGCGGGGCCUCCUGUCCAGCCGGUAACGGACCGGGCAGAGGAGGGGCUCGGCCGCCGCGCCCAGGUCGGCCGCGCUCCGGGAAGAGGCCGGCCCGGUCGCCUUUCCUUCCUUAACUCCGUUUCCGUUCUAUUCUCCGUUAGGAGGGACAGGGUGAACUUUGGUUUAUUAGGCCCCGGGCUUCCAGCCGCGAGCGCCCCAGGUCAAUAGUCAAGGACGAUUAUUCUGACUCAAUCUGUCAACAAUACAGUUAACACAAGCUUUGAGAAGAAAAGCAUCAUAGUUUUGAAGUGGUGAUAGCUCUCUAAACAGCCAAAGGAGAGUCUCAGCUGCUUCCUGCGAAUCCCGCAUCACUUUUGUCUUACUGAAAGGAGCCUUCCCAUAGGUCCUGAGUCUUCUGCCGUUCCAC